CACAUGGAGAUCUAGGUUAAAAUUACCUUGGCUGGAGAAGAGAGUGGAAGCAAGGCUACCACAGCAAAAGAUGUGUCCUUGCUGCUCCUAGAAAGGAAGGAAAGCAUGAAGGCAUCUGCAGCCUCUUGGGGCUGGGAAGGGACUUUCAUCCCCAGCCCUUUCGUGUCUGUGAGCCUGAGCAACAGCAAGGAAACUGAAUUUGGCCAGAAACCAAACUGAAGAGGAGUACAUUCAUUCCUGGAGUGACUCUACUGACCUCCCUAGAGCUGCUCCAGAGUUCAGGCCAGCCUUGAC
rnacentral:lncRNA from 1 species